GUGUGGUUCUGUGGCUUUCUGUAGGCAUGUAAGGGAGACAUAGAAUCUCACGUUUCUCCUUGAAUCAAGAACUCUUCUGGGUCAUCAGCUUAUUGUAUGUAGGAGAAGGGAGAAGGGCCAGCCCCUUCCCUGGCCAGUGGGGACACUCCCAAGUCCCCCUAAGUCAGAGGACAAGUUCAUUUCAGUAUCAUUCAGCUGCUCCAGGAGCAGACACGGCCCGCUGCCCAUUCUCUUGGGAUUUAAGGUUGAAGGUACUUUCACAGGCAGAGCAACAACCACUGAAAUGUGGGUGUCUUUAAAACAGCACUACCCAGGACCAUGCCGUGCCACAGGCAGGGGCUGCCUUUCUACAUUCUGGAGGAAGAGGGAAUAGUUUCUGCUUCUCUUGUUGAGGUUUCUUUUGAUCACAUUUUAGGAACUUGUAGUUUUCUAGUUCAACCUCUGGAAUUGCAUCAGCUGUAAGUGGGGAAAACAAUGUAAAAAUAUCAAAACGUGCACAGGGAGAGGACAAGGCCCGAGGAAGGUCUCUUGUAAAUGGUCUAAAGGCAGGCAGGACUUUCCCUCCUCAGGCCCCUCUAGGGGCUCCGUGUUCACCCCUGACCUAGAUUUGAAUCCUCCUGGGAUCCUUGUCCAGGUCUCUGACUUCCUUUUCCUGCUUGUUUUCUAUCCACAGGUGAAGAUUUGUGAUGCAGCUUUUAAGGCCACAUCUGGGCCUCCUUCCAUCAUGUCUAUGCUGCCUACACACUAGGCUCUCCAGCAUCCCUGCACGUACUUAUGUAAUGCUGUUUCAGGAGGAAAUGUCCUGGAGGCCCCAGCCUCUGUCAGGCCAUGAGAUGACCUGAAUGCAGAUAUAGUGGGAUUCAUCACCUCUGCAUCCUUCAGUCCUCGGUGGUGGUCCUAAUCUCUGCAGCCCCUCCAGGAAUGCGACACUCAGAUCAACUAGCUACCACCAUAGGUUUCUGUGAGUCAAAUGGAUUCUCAUUAUUGCCUUGACUUCACUAUCCAUUACAGAAACCAUAACCACCUUGUCUCUUGAGAUUCAGUGCCUCUGCUUGGUCUCUGCUGCCCCAGGAUCCAGGUGUCCUCACUGCAUAUCAAGAUCCCAGGUCACUGGCAGCAGUUCCACUGUAAUGUCUGCCCUAAAGAGGAGAGUGGCCACAGAGCUCUUCACGGACUCUGGGGCUGCCCUCAUGAAUUUAUUUCCACAGUAGUAGUGCAAGUGUGUCCUCUGGACCCUGUUGGGGUGGGUAGGCAUGUCUUACAUGAUAAAUACACUCUAACGUUCCAAUCACCUAAGCCUUGGAUACCUUCUUCUAUAGGAGACCAAGGAAGGUCAGCCUCACUUAGUGUAUUCCCGGCAACCAAUGACACUGCUGGAACUCUUUGUGCCCUCUCAAGACACAGCAAAGAGUAGAGAAUCUCUGCUUAGUGGGCCCAUAUCAAUAAAUUAGACCGGAUCCAACUUUAUGUUCCUUCCGCCAUUAUCCAAACCCCUUAAUAGCCAUUUGCACACAGUUUUCCUAGAUUUGUUUCUGUAUACACUGGGGAAAGGAUGCAGCUAUUUUGGAACGUAGCACAACUCCUCAUGGGUCAUAUUUUACACUUCAGUCUCUGGGACAUGCUGGGAAUUGAGGCUACUAGGUCUAGUAGCAAAUGGGGCUGGUGGGUGUAGGUCCUCAGGAGAAUCAGCAAUACUUCCAAGGCAGCUUCCCGGGGGAGACCAUUACCGAGUCCUUAGGAAAAGCAGAGUUCACCCCCUCACGCAGGGCUGGGAGGGCUUCUUCGUUGGCAAAGAAGACUGUACAAUCUUAUAAUCAUUUUUAUUCCCAUAGAGUCGGUAGUAAUAUCCAACGUUCAUUUCUGGUUAUAAUAAUUUUAUCUAUUUUCUUUUUUGCUGGUUAGUCUAGCUAAAAGUUUGCCAAUUUUAUUGCUUUUUUCCUAGAAAACACUUUUGAUUUGACUGAUUUUCCCUCUUGUUUUCCUGUUCUUUAUUUCACCUCUGCUCAUAUUUAUUAUAAGCCUCUUUUUGCUGGUUUCAGGGUUGGUUUACUCUUCAUUUUCUACUCUUCAAGGUGUAAAGUUAGGUUAUGGUUUUGAGAUCUUUCUUCUUCUAAUGUAGGCAUUUACAACUAUAAAUUUCCCGGUGAGCGUUUCUUUUUCUGCAUCCCAUGAGUUUGGUAGGUUGUAUUUUCAUUUUCAUUUUAUUCAAGGUGUUUUCUAGUGUCCCUCAUAUUUUCAACUUUCAUCCACUGGGUGUUAAUGCUGUAUUGUUUAAUUUUUAUGUAUUUAUGAUUUUUUCCAGUUUUCUUCCUGUUCUUGAUUUCUAAUUUCACUCCACUGUGAUUAGAAAUUAUAUUUUAUUUGAUUUCAAUGUUUUAAAAAUUUGCUAAGACUUGUUUGGGGGCCUAAAAUAUGGUCUAUCCUGGGGAAUGUUCCAUAUGCACUUGAGAAGAAUACAUAUUCUGCUGUUUUGGGUGGAAGGUUAAGUCUAAUUGAUUAUGGUGUUGUUCAAGUUCUUUAUUUCCUUAGUGAUUUUCUGUCUGGUUGUAAUAUCCUUUUUUGAAAGUGGAGUAUUGAAAUCUCCAUUAUUGUUAGAGAACCGUCUAUUUCUCCUUUCAAUUCUGUCGAUUUUGCUUCAUAUGUUUUGGGAGCUCUGCUGCUAGAUAUGUGUGUUUAAAAUUGUGACAUCGUCUUGAUGGAUUGUACCUUUUAUCAAUACAUAAUGCCAUCAUGAAUGAGAGAGACCUGAUCACUUCCCUUGAGGAACUCACAAGCAGUCCAGGGAAGAGACUGAGAGACUAUCACAGCAGGAGCU